GUUCCGAAAUCACCAAUCGAAACCAUCACCAAUGUCAACCCCGCCUGAGAUUCCUUGUUGCCUCCUUCUUCUCAAAAUUCCUAAAACCAUGCUUGUCUCUCUCUUUUCUCUUCUUUGAAAUCACCCAAAACCCUAAUGCAUUCGUUAUCGGAGACGCCAUUGCCGUGUCCUCAUCUCACUACAAAUUGUGCUACCUUCUCUCUCCCCUCCAAAACCUAAUCGGUCCUGAUUUGCCCUCUUCCUCUCUCCCCUCUCAACCCUAACCCUAAUUCCUCCUCCUCUUCCCUCAAACCCUCGCUAUUGUUUAUCCUCAACUCCAACCAUCAUCAACUCUUUCCAACGUCACCACCAGAAGCUCCCCCAUCACCUGUACUAUAAGCUACACUGCCGCCUACACCGCACCCUCCGUCACCGCCUCUUAUGCUUGGCCGCUGCUUCUCCUAAUCUUCAUAGCUAUAAGUCCUCUCUAUUCCAUCAAAACCCUAACCUUAAUUAGGGUAAUUUUUAAAAUUAUAGUGUAGUUAGCUAAUAUUUUUGGUUUUUCUAAAAUUAUUAGGUUGUCUACACUCAAAAAAUCUUGAUCUGUUACUCCUUCACGCCUCCAGCGAGGCCACCUGUUGCUGCCUCCAGCGAGGCGACUAAUAAUUUAUGGAUUCAUAGAACGCUCAUCCACCUUCUAUUGCACCAGCUACCACUACUUCACUAGCUUCUCAUCCUUCUCUGGAUGCUCAGGCUUCAACUUCUACCGUUCAAUGUUCUCCUUUCAGCACAGGUUCCUCUUCCUAGUCUAUUCCAACACUACGCCAAGGAGGAUAUUCGCAAGAAUUUUGCCUAGAAUUUUGGUAUCUAUUUGUAGCAGUGACUGUUGUAUAUUUUUUAGAUAUUAGAAACAUGUAUAUUUUGGAUAUUCUUCUUUAUGUUUGGGACUAAUUAGUUUAAACAUUAUUCAUUGCAAUUUGGUUA